UCGAGAAUUUUUCACAAUGGGCGAAAGCCUGAUGGAGCGACGCCGCGUGGGGGAUGAAUGGCUUCGGCCCGUAAACCCCUGUCAUUCGGGAUCAAAUCCAGCAACCUAACACGUUGCUGGUUGAUAGUACUGAAAGAGGAAGGGACGGCUAACUCUGUGCCAGCAGCCGCGGUAAUACAGAGGUCCCAAGCGUUGUUCGGAUUUACUGGGCGUAAAGGGAGCGUAGGUGGCGGAUUAAGUCUGGUGUGAAAUCUCUGAGCUUAACUCAGAAAUGGCACUAGAUACUAGUUUGCUUGAGGAUUGGAGGGGAGACUGGAAUUCUCGGUGUAGCAGUGAAAUGCGUAGAUAUCGAGAGGAACACCAGUGGCGAAGGCGAGUCUCUGGACAAUUCCUGACACUCAUGCUCGAAAGCUAGGGGAGCAAACGGGAUUAGAUACCCCUGUAGUCC
rnacentral:rRNA from 1 species